rnacentral:rRNA from 1 species
UACGUAGGGGGCAAGCGUUGUUCGGAUUCAUUGGGCGUAAAGGGUGCGUAGGUGGCGCUGUAAGUCGGGUGUGAAAUUUCGGAGCUCAACUCCGAAACUGCAUUCGAUACUGCGGUGCUUGAGGACUGGAGAGGAGACUGGAAUUCAUGGUGUAGCAGUGAAAUGCGUAGAGAUCAUGAGGAAGACCAGUGGCGAAGGCGGGUCUCUGGACAGUUCCUGACACUGAGGCACGAAGGCCAGGGGAGCAAACGGG